AACGAACGCUGGCGGCAUGCCUAACACAUGCAAGUCGAACGAGACCUUCGGGUCUAGUGGCGCACGGGUGCGUAACGCGUGGGAACCUGCCCUUAGGUUCGGAAUAACUCCCCGAAAGGGGUGCUAAUACCGGAUAAUGUCUUCGGACCAAAGAUUUAUCGCCUUUGGAUGGGCCCGCGUUGGAUUAGCUAGUUGGUAGGGUAAAAGCCUACCAAGGCGACGAUCCAUAGCUGGUCUGAGAGGAUGAUCAGCCACACUGGGACUGAGACACGGCCCAGAAUCCUACGGGAGGCAGCAGUGGGGAAUAUUGGACAAUGGGCGAAAGCCUGAUCCAGCAAUGCCGCGUGAGUGAUGAAGGCCUUAGGGUUGUAAAGCUCUUUUACCCGUGAUGAUAAUGACAGUACCGGGAGAAUAAGCUCCGGCUAACUCCGUG
rnacentral:rRNA from 1 species